rnacentral:rRNA from 1 species
GAAUUGUUCGCAAUGGGCGCAAGCCUGACGACGCAACGCCGCGUGGAGGAUGAAGACCUUCGGGUCGUAAACUCCUUUCGACCGAGAUGAACACCUGCCGACCUAAUACGUCGGCAGGCUGACAGUAUCGAGGGAAGAAGCCCCGGCUAACUCCGUGCCAGCAGCCGCGGUAAUACGGGGGGGGCAAGCGUUGUCCGGAAUUACUGGGCGUAAAGGGUUCGUAGGUGGCCGACUAAGUCAGACGUGAAAUCCCUCAGCUCAACUGGGGAACUGCGUCUGAGACUGGCCGGCUUGAGUGCAGGAGAGGAACGCGGAAUUCCAGGUGUAGCGGUGAAAUGCGUAGAUAUCUGGAGGAACACCGGUGGCGAAGGCGGCGUUCUGGACUGCUACUGACACUGAGGAACGAAAGCCAGGGGAGCAAACGGG